GACAGAGGGUGCAAACGUUGUUCGGAAUUACUGGGCGUAAAGCGAGUGUAGGCGGUCUUGUAAGUCGGAUGUGAAAGCCCUGGGCUCAACCCAGGAAGUGCACUCGAAACUGCGAGGCUAGAGUAUCGGAGAGGUUGGUGGAAUUCCCGGUGUAGUGGUGGAAUGCGUAGAGAUCGGGAGGAACACCAGUGGCGAAGGCGGCUCACUGGCCCGAUACUGACGCUGAGGCACGAAAGCGUGGGGAGCAAACAGG
rnacentral:rRNA from 1 species